UCAGUCGUCUACCACUGAAAACUGAAUCCAACACUUUCUGAUCUUAUGAUAUACUCUCUGAACCCAACCCAGACGAGACGAUGUGAUGAAUCCGAAAUUGAAACCCCAGAAACAUAUACCUGCAAUCGUGGUUGUGGAAGAAUCAAAGCGAUUAUUGCUGGGGGGAAGAUCAACAGCUUUCAGUUUUUUCACUUAUUUCUGCCUUUUUCAUU
rnacentral:lncRNA from 1 species